rnacentral:rRNA from 1 species
UUCAGGAYGAACGCUGGCGGCGUGCCUAAUACAUGCAAGUCGAGCGGACCGACGGGAGCUUGCUCCCUUAGGUCAGCGGCGGACGGGUGAGUAACACGUGGGUAACCUGCCUGUAAGACUGGGAUAACUCCGGGAAACCGGGGCUAAUACCGGAUGCUUGAUUGAACCGCAUGGUUCAAUCAUAAAAGGUGGCUUUYAGCUACCACUURCAGAUGGACCCGCGGCGCAUUAGCUAGUUGGUGAGGUAACGGCUCACCAAGGCGACGAUGCGUAGCCGACCUGAGAGGGUGAUCGGCCACACUGGGACUGAGACACGGCCCAGACUCCUACGGGAGGCAGCAGUAGGGAAUCUUCCGCAAUGGACGAAAGUCUGACGGAGCAACGCCGCGUGAGUGAUGAAGGUUUUCGGAUCGUAAAACUCUGUUGUUAGGGAAGAACAAGUACCGUUCGAAUAGGGCGGCACC